rnacentral:rRNA from 1 species
CAUUCGAUACGGGCAAACUAGAGUUUGGUAGGGGAGACUGGAAUUCCUGGUGUAGCGGUGGAAUGCGCAGAUAUCAGGAGGAACACCAAUGGCGAAGGCAGGUCUCUGGGCCAAUACUGACACUGAGGAGCGAAAGUCUGGGGAGCGAACAGGAUUAGAUACCCUGGUAGUCCAGACCGUAAACGGUGGGCACUAGUUGUGGGAACCUUCCACGGUUUCUGCGACGCAGCUAACGCAUUAAGUGCCCCGCCUGGGGAGUACGAUCGCAAGAUUAAAACUCAAAGGAAUUGACGGGGCCCCGCACAAGCAGCGGAGCAUGCGGCUUAAUUCGACGCAACGCGAAGAACCUUACCAAGGCUUGACAUAUACAGGAAUAUGGCAGAAAUGUCAUAGCCGCAAGGUCUGUAUACAGGUGGUGCAUGGUUGUCGUCAGCUCGUGUCGUGAGAUGUUGGGUUAAGUCCCGCAACGAGCGCAACCCUCGUUCUGUGUUGCCAGCAUUUAGUUGGGGACUCACAGGAGACUGCCGGGGUUAACUCGGAGGAAGGUGGGGAUGACGUCAAAUCAUCAUGCCCCUUAUGUCUUGGGCUGCACGCAUGCUACAAUGGCUGGUACAAAGGGCUGCAAUACUGCAAAGUGGAGCGAAUCCCAAAAAGCCAGUCUCAGUUCGGAUUGGGGUCU